ensembl:lncRNA
UGUUAGCGAUGAGCUUGUUCCUUGCUCCUUGCUGGCUUCGGUUGGUUAUUAGCUGGCGUCAGUUAGCUGUAUGCUAGCUCCAGUCAAGUGUUUUUCCGUUCCGGGUAGCACUUUGCUAAUUUGCUCAGCCGUGUUCUAUUUGUGUUCACAUGAAGGUAAUGUUUCUGACUAACUGCGCUACAGCAUGGUUUGGCGUUUGCUCUGUAGCCGACUGGAAGGACCUGCAACGGGUGGUGGAAACCGCCCAGCACAUCACUGGUACCAAGCUCCCGGCCAUCGUAGACCUCUAGCACAAGCUGUGUCUGCACAGGGUGUGCAGCAUCAUCAUUAAGGGACCCUUAACAUUCAUACCACAAACUGUUUGCCCUCCUUCCAGACAGCACUCAGACAGACACGACAGGCAGGGUGAAGGGACAAGUGCUCAGCUACAGAGAAGUGUCAGUUGGCUGUGUCAGUCCAGGCAGAGUCGUUUUGCCUAACAACCCUGGCACCGCGACCUUGACACCCAGCGUGGUCUGAGCACGCUCCUACCGGCUCCUCAGAUCAGCUGAGUCACCAUGGGAAACUGUUCGUGUGGAAAACAGAGAAAGAAGACAAAUGAAGAUGGGAAUGACAGUGAUGAUCCCAGGGAUCCCGAAACAGACAAAAAGGAAGAGGAUCUGACAUAUGCCACCAUCGACCACGUAAACACCCAGACAGCCAGAGUCAUCGUGGAUUCAAGCAAUAGUGAUUGUGACUAUGCCGUGAUUAACCUUCCAGCUGACCCUGGCCUCCAAUCGCCAAUCAAAGAAGACUGCACGGAUGACUAUGUCCUCAUGGGCUGACCUCAGGGACAAUGUUUAUUUGAGGGUAGGAUGAGAGGGGGUAGGAGAGUUGCGGCGACAUGGAAACUGGAUAAGCUGCAUAAGACUUGACCUGGUCCACUGAUACGACCAUGACAUACAAACUGUUCUAGAAGCAGUGUGGGCUGGCUGAAUAAUGGGUCUGUUGGUUGUGUUGUUGCGAGCUUAUACUCAGGGGGUUAAAUCGGGCGGGGGCCAGCUGAGCUGCAACACACAUGGUUGACAUGAGACCUGGGGAGAGCUGAGGUCCAGGACUUCCACUGGCCAGUAGUUUCUUUUUUUUUUUUAUAUACAAGUAGAAAAUAAAAAGUAGGGCUCCCCCACUUCCCAAAUCCCGGUGUAACUCCUGCUCAUAUCGUAUACUUGUGUUAAUGUAUGUACAGUAGGCAAAAAAUGUUUUGUUAUUUAUUUGAAACACCUUAGCUUGCAGAGUUUUUUUGUAUAAUUUCAGCUGGUUGUUUUCCAUUUUGUUUGACAUGUUCCAACCUGGACAUUUAUUUAUUUUUGAGAAAUAUAACAUAUAAUAUUAAAAACAUAUUCUUUACAAUAUGUUUUUAAUGUGUUGUGUUUAAGAUCCUGGAGUCUCUAAUGACUCAUAAGUCCUUGUGUCAGCACAGCCAGUGGACUUUCCUGCUGGCAGAAUCCAAUGCGACAGAUCAGCCACCAUCCUUGGGAUUUUUUUUUUUCAUUGACAGAGAUAGGAAGAGUUAUCAUCUGUGUAUCCGUGCUGUGCUUAUGUCUGUUUAAGCAGCUUCAUUGAGACCACGCUGAAUAAAUUAAUGCCUCCUGAUGACCCGGUUGGAGUUCAGCUCACAUGACCAUGUGGACUACCAGGUGGGAUCAGCCAUUGACCCACCAUCAUUAGGGAUCAGCCAAUGACGAACCAUCAUUAGGGACCAGCCAAUGACCCACCAUCACUAAGGAAUAGCCAAUGAAGUUCCCAUUAAUUUGACCACAUUUAAAGUGAAUGCCUUGAACAGUAAUGUCCAAAAAAAAUAAGCUUUUUUAUCUGGCAACUUUAUGGAUGAAUCCUAGGCAGAAUAUUUUUCCCCACUUAUUAAAAUUCUGAUGUUACUCAAAAGACCAAAUAGUGGAAAAAGACCAGAAUUGGUCUGCCUGUGUAAAUAGCACCUUAGAGGCAGGCCGACCAAUGUGCUAAUAGCUAUCAUACUGACACAAACCCCAGAGAUACUGCUACCAACCACACACAAAUACACCCUCUCAGUUUUGGAAGGAUCAUUUCUGCUGGUGUAAAAGAGCGAGAUAAAAGGUUUAUGCGUCAUGAUUGAAUUAUUUGAGUGAAUUGUACAGCACCACCCGAUUAUUUGUCUCUCACAAAUCUAUUUGACAUGAGAGCAUUGUGACUUGUCAACCCUGUUCAACAGCUACUGUCCUAUUUUUGAUUGUAUCCUAUCAAUAGUUAUAUAGAUACAAAGAUUGAUUAAAUAGAAACAUUGUUAGAAAAUGACAGCUUUGUAUCUUGUUUUUUAACGUCAGUGGCAGACAACUAUUUGUAACUGCAAGGUUAAAUCUGAGAGACUUUUUGUAACUUUCUAUUGUAGGGGAAGUCUGAAUUGUUCAUAAAUAGAGCUUACAAAAUAUAAGUCGGAAGAUUAAGGAACUGUGUUCCACAGAUGUUUUGUCUUAUAAACAGCGUCUUAUCUUUUUGUGUGGUCUGAGAUCACAAUCACAGUGGGUUUCAAAUUCAAUAAGCUAUUUCAAGCUAACAGGGGUGUGCACCCUCUGCUGGGCGUAGUCCUUCAUCAUACAGCAAGACGAUGUCAUAGUAAUUAUAGCAACACAGACAAGGAGUUUUCCAGGCCACAAACUGUAAAGAUGUU